UACGUAGGUGGCGAGCGUUGUCCGGAUUUAUUGGGCGUAAAGCGCGCGCAGGCGGUGAGGUAAGUCCGUCGUGAAAUCUCCCGGCUCAACUGGGAGGGUGCGGGGGAGACUGCCUGACUGGAGGCACUCAGAGGCCGGUGGAAUUCCCGGUGGAGUGGUGAAAUGCGUAGAGAUCGGGAGGAACACCAGUGGCGAAGGCGGCCGGCUGGGGGUGACCUGACGCUGAGGCGCGAAAGCGUGGGGAGCGAACAGG
rnacentral:rRNA from 1 species